GAAUCUCGAGAAGUUUUAUCCUUUGUAAGAGCCAUCCUGUGUACCGUCACAUUUCCCAUAACCACCAGCUAAACAAUAUCUGCUAUAUAGACCGCGCAUGUGGCCACUCCCGUUUCGAGAUUCCAGAUGACAGAUGCUGAGUUGCUGGCUGCUCUCAGUCGAGCUCCUGACCCAGAAAGUUGCAGGAGGGGCUGCUGCAGUUUGCUCUUUCACAAAAGCCACGUUUCCUGAGAUUUCCCUGAUUCCUGGACCGCAUUGAGAU